UACGUAGGGUGCGAGCGUUAAUCGGAAUUACUGGGCGUAAAGCGUGCGCAGGCGGUUCGUUAAGUCAGAUGUGAAAGCCCCGGGCUCAACCUGGGAACUGCAUUUGAAACUGGCGGGCUUGAGUAUGGCAGAGGGGGGUGGAAUUCCGCGUGUAGCAGUGAAAUGCGUAGAGAUGCGGAGGAACACCGAUGGCGAAGGCAAUCCCCUGGACCUGUACUGACGCUCAUGCACGAAAGCGUGGGGAGCAAACAGG
rnacentral:rRNA from 1 species